rnacentral:rRNA from 1 species
ACAAUUCACGCAAGUGAGAUGGGGUUACCUCGAGUGCUGCCUGAAUAAGGUGGCUUUUCCGCUGUGUAGCAAGCCUUGGGAAUAAGGGGGGGGCAAGACUGGUGUCAGCCGCCGCGGUAACACCAGCCCCCCGAGUGGUGGGGAUGAUUAUUUGGCCUAAAGCGUCCGUAGCCGGCUCUGUAAAUCUCUCGUUAAAUCCAGCGUCCUAAGCGUUGGGCUGCGAGAGAGACUGCAGAGCUAGAGGGUGGGAGAGGUCAGCGGUAUUCCUGGGGUAGGGGCGAAAUCCAUUGAUCCCAGGAGGACCACCAGUGGCGAAGGCUGCUGACUAGAACACGCCUGACGGUCAGGGACGAAAGCUGGGGUAGCGAACCGGAUUAGAUACCCGGGUAGUCCCAGCCGUAAACGAUGCAUGCUAGGUGUUGGGUCGGCCACGCGCCGCCUCAGUGCCGCAGGGAAGCCAUUAAGCAUGCUGCCUGGGGAGUACGGCCGCAAGGCUGAAACUUAA